rnacentral:rRNA from 1 species
GAUGAACGCUGGCGGCGUGCCUAAUACAUGCAAGUCGAGCGCACGGACGAGAAGCUUGCUUCUCUGAUGUUAGCGGCUGACGGGUGAGUAACACGUGGAUAACCUACCUAUAAGACUGGGAUAACUUCGGGAAACCGCAGCUAAUACCGGAUGAUAUUUUGCACCGCAUGGUUCAAAAGUGAAAGACGGUCUUGCUGUCACUUAUAGAUGGAUCCUCGCUGCAUUAGCUAGUUGGUAAGGUAAAGGCUUACCAAGGCAACGAUGCAUAGCCGACCUGAGAGGGUGAUCGGCCACACUGGAACUGAGACACGGUCCAGACUCCUACGGGAGGCAGCAGUAGGGAAUCUUCCGCAAUGGGCGAAAGCCUGACGGAGCAACGCCGCGUGAGUGAUGAAGGUCUUCGGAUCGUAAAACUCUGUUAUUAGGGAAGAACAUAUGUGUAAGUAACUGUGCACAUCUUGACGGUACCUAAUCAGAAAGCCACGGCUAACUACGUG